rnacentral:rRNA from 1 species
ACCUCUGCAAUAGGCGAAAGCUUGACAGGGUUACUCUGAGUGAUGUCCGCUAAGGGCAUCUUUUGGCACCUCUAAAAAUGGUGCAGAAUAAGGGGUGGGCAAGUCUGGUGUCAGCCGCCGCGGUAAUACCAGCACCCCGAGUGGUCGGGACGAUUAUUGGGCCUAAAGCAUCCGUAGCUUGUCCUGCAAGUCUUCCGUUAAAUCCACCUGCUCAACAGAUGGGCUGCGGGGGAUACUACAGGGCUAGGAGGCGGGAGAGGCAAACGGUACUCAGUGGGUAGGGGUAAAAUCCACUGAUCCACUGAAGACCACCAGUGGCGAAGGCGGUUUGCCAGAACGCGCUCGACGGUGAGGGAUGAAAGCUGGGGGAGCAAACCGGAUUAGAUACCCGGGUAGUCCCAGCUGUAAACGAUGCAGACUCGGUGAUGGGUUGGCUUUGAGCCAACCCAGUGCCGCAGGGAAGCCGUUAAGUCUGCCGCCUGGGGAGUACGGUCGCAAGACUGAAACUUAA